rnacentral:lncRNA from 1 species
AGUUUACCCUGUACUGUGCUGCAAAAUAUUACUUUCUCCCCAUCUGGAAUUCUUCCCUUCCUCCUUCCUGCCGCAGUGGUGUACUGAGCACUUUCACGUAAGAGUAUUCCUCCACUCGAACAACCCCCCGGAGAAGUACUGGUGUCACUGCCACCUGCGAGAGUUUGCGGCUACCUCCCCAAGAGGCAGUCCCAGGGUUAUUGUGACCUAUGAUGUUUAUUCAACUACUGUUGACGGGCUGCUGUGCACAGGGAACCUAGUAGGCAAGACCCCUGCCAUCGUGCAGCUUACUGUCAGGUUGACACAGACCUUAAGGCAGAAUGAAGGAACAAGACAGCAAAGAAUGUGACUGGCCCCAUGGAAAGGAAGUUGUAUCCUAUCCUGGGGACUCUGUCCAGAUGUUCCAGGUGGUGACAAACAGCAACAUAAUAUAGUGGUUUAUGCAGACUUCUUCACACAUGUGAGGAGCAAGCUUGGAAGUUCAAAGGGUUUGAUGCCGUUCACUCAACGUCUCUAAGCCUCAGUCUUCACACCUAAAGAUGAUAAAGAAUACUACCUACCCCAAAGGGCUAUCAUGGGAGUUAAAUAAAAUACAUUAAAUACCUGACAGGCUGCCCAGAACACAGCCCAUACAUUGUGAAAUAUCAGAACAUUAGAGACAAAGAGAUAAUGUUCUAAGUGUCUGGAGAGGGAGAAAAAACAGGCCAUGUACAAGGAAUGAUAAUAAAAAUGACUCUGGGCUUCUCAGCAACAUUUGAAGGAAGAAGACAAUGGAAGAGUGUCUUCAAUGUGAUGGAAAAUGCCUUCCAACCUAGAAAUCCUAUAACCAACCAAACUGGCAAUGUGAAGAUUGACUAUAGACACUUGUAACAUCUGAACAAAAUUAGGCCAGGCGUGGUGGCUCACACCUGUAAACCCAGCACUUUGGGAGG